UACGUAGGGUGCAAGCGUUGUCCGGAAUUAUUGGGCGUAAAGAGCUCGUAGGCGGUUUGUCGCGUCUGCUGUGAAAACUCAGGGCUUAACCCUGAGCUUGCAGUGGGUACGGGCAGACUAGAGUGCGGUAGGGGAGACUGGAAUUCCUGGUGUAGCGGUGAAAUGCGCAGAUAUCAGGAGGAACCCCGGUGGCGAAGGCGGGUCUCUGGGCCGUAACUGACGCUGAGGAGCGAAAGCAUGGGGAGCGAACAGG
rnacentral:rRNA from 1 species